rnacentral:rRNA from 1 species
AGUGAACGCUGGCGGUAGGCCUAACACAUGCAGGUCGAACGGCAGCACAGUAAGAGCUUGCUCUUACGGGUGGCGAGUGGCGGACGGGUGAGGAAUACAUCGGAAUCUACUUUUUCGUGGGGGAUAACGUAGGGAAACUUACGCUAAUACCGCAUACGACCUACGGGUGAAAGCAGGGGAUCUUCGGACCUUGCGCGAUUGAAUGAGCCGAUGUCGGGUUAGCUAGUUGGCGGGGUAAAGGCCCACCAAGGCGACGAUCCGUAGCUGGUCUGAGAGGAUGAUCAGCCACACUGGAACUGAGACACGGUCCAGACUCCUACGGGAGGCAGCAGUGGGGAAUAUUGGACAAUGGGCGCAAGCCUGAUCCAGCCAUACCGCGUGGGUGAAGAAGGCCUUCGGGUUGUAAAGCCCUUUUGUUGGGAAAGAAAAGCAGCAGGUUAAUACCCCGCUGUUCUGACGGUACCCAAAGAAUAAGCACCGGCUAACUUCGUG